rnacentral:lncRNA from 1 species
UUGUCCCCAACCCUGCCUCCUGGUGACACCUUCCUCUUCUCUGCCCUCCAGCCUCUGCCUCGGUGCACCCUCUCAUUGACCCCCUGGCCUCAGGGUCUCACCUUACCCGGAUCCCCUACCCAGCUGGGACCCUCCCCAACCCCCUUCUUCCUCACCCUCUGCACGAGAACGAAGUUCUUCGUCACCAGCUUUUUGCUGCCCCUUACCGGGACCUGCCGGCCUCCCUUUCUGCUCCAAUGUCAGCGGCUCAUCAGCUGCAGGCCAUGCACGCACAGUCAGCUGAGCUGCAGCGCUUGGCGCUGGAACAGCAGCAGUGGCUACAUGCUCAUCACCCAUUGCACAGCGUGCCACUACCUGCCCAGGAAGACUACUACAGGUACUCCAGGUUGCCCCCAGAGCACAAGGGGAAGUGGGUUCUGGGCAUGGUCCAACAGGACACCGAGCCCUUGGGAGGGGAAGCCCCCUUUCUUAGUCUCAUCUCUGCAUUGCCUCUUGUCUAGUCACCUGAAGAAGGAGAGUGACAAGCCGCUGUAGAGCUGCGAUCCAGACAGCACCCACUGCUCCUUCAUCCAGACCUUGGAGGACCACCCCAACCUUUUGACCCCACCCCACCCCCAGCCGAGGAGAGGGUGCUGCCCACUUGCAGAGCUCCUGCAGCUGGGCAGAGGGAGGGAGGGAAGAAGGGACAGACAAGGUCAGGGCCCGGGGUUGUGUGCAGAGGUGGGAAGUGGCAAGGGUGGGGGCAGAAAGUGCACAGUAUCUUGGACCAGGUCCCUCCUCCUAUCCCCUGCUUUUCUUCUCCUCUAUGCCCAAUCCUUGGUGGCCACUGCCCCUCCCCUAACCCAUUGGUGUGAUUUUUUUCAUCUGUUAGAUGUGGCUGUUUUGCGUAGCAUUGUGUGCUGCCCCGCCCCAUCCCUGUGUGUGCACCCCCUCCCUCGGCGAUAUGUGCCCUUACCCGUCCCACAUUAAUAAUUUAUAUAUAUAAAUAUCUAUAUGAUGCUCUUUAAAAAACAUCCUGACCAAAACCAACCAAACAAAAACAUCCUCACAGUUCCCCAGGAAUAUGUCUGUGACGUGUUUUUUAUUUGGGG